rnacentral:rRNA from 1 species
AGUGAACGCUGGCGGUAGGCCUAACACAUGCAAGUCGAACGGCAGCACAGGAGAGCUUGCUCUCUGGGUGGCGAGUGGCGGACGGGUGAGGAAUACAUCGGAAUCUACUUUUUCGUGGGGGAUAACGUAGGGAAACUUACGCUAAUACCGCAUACGACCUACGGGUGAAAGCAGGGGACCUUCGGGCCUUGCGCGAUUGAAUGAGCCGAUGUCGGAUUAGCUAGUUGGCGGGGUAAAGGCCCACCAAGGCGACGAUCCGUAGCUGGUUUGAGAGGAUGAUCAGCCACACUGGAACUGAGACACGGUCCAGACUCCUACGGGAGGCAGCAGUGGGGAAUAUUGGACAAUGGGCGCAAGCCUGAUCCAGCCAUACCGCGUGGGUGAAGAAGGCCUUCGGGUUGUAAAGCCCUUUUGUUGGGAAAGAAACCCAGCUGGCUAAUACCCGGUUGGGAUGACGGUACCCAAAGAAUAAGCACCGGCUAACUCCGUGCCAGCAGCCGCCGUAA